GAAACUACUGCUAAGACUGGAUAGGAGACAAGAAGGCAUCUUCUUGUUUUUAAAAGACCUAGCAAUAGGUAUGCUUAGGGAGGAGCUUGCGUCACAUUAGUUAGUUGGUGGGGUAAAGGCCUACCAAGACUAUGAUGUGUAGCCGGGCUGAGAGGUUGAACGGCCACAUUGGGACUGAGACNCGGCCCAAACUCCUACGGGAGGCAGCAGUAGGGAAUUUUCGGCAAUGGAGGAAACUCUGACCGAGCAACGCCGCGUGAACGAUGAAGUAUUUCGGUACGUAAAGUUCUUUUAUUAGGGAAGAAUAAAUGAUGGAAAAAUCAUUCUGACGGUACCUAAUGAAUAAGCCCCGGCUAACUAUGUGCCAGCAGCCGCGGUAAUACAUAGGGGGCAAGCGUUAUCCGGAAUUAUUGGGCGUAAAGGGUGCGUAGGCGGUUAAAUAAGUUUAUGGUCUAAGUGCAAUGCUCAACAUUGUGAUGCUAUAAAAACUGUUUAGCUAGAGUAAGAUAGAGGCAAGUGGAAUUCCAUGUGUAGUGGUAAAAUGCGUAAAUAUAUGGAGGAACACCAGUAGCGAAGGCGGCUUGCUGGGUCUUUACUGACGCUGAGGCACGAAAGCGUGGGGAGCAAACAGGAUUAGAUACCCUGGUAGUCCACGCCGUAAACGAUGAGUACUAAACGUUGGGUAAAACCAGUGUUGAAGUUAACACAUUAAGUACUCCGCCUGAGUAGUACGUACGCAAGUAUGAAACUUAAAGGAAUUGACGGGACUCCGCACAAGCGGUGGAUCAUGUUGUUUAAUUCGAAGGUACCCGAAAAACCUCACCAGGUCUUGACAUGCUUCUGCAAAGCUGUAGAAACACAGUGGAGGUUAUCAGUUGCACAGGUGGUGCAUGGUUGUCGUCAGCUCGUGUCGUGAGAUGUUGGGUUAAGUCCCGCAACGAGCGCAACCCUUAUUGUUAGUUACCAGCACGUAAUGGUGGGGACUUUAGCAAGACUGCCAGUGAUAAAUUGGAGGAAGGUGGGGACGACGUCAAAUCAUCAUGCCCCUUAUGACCUGGGCUACAAACGUGAUACAAUGGCUGUUACAAAGGGUAGCUGAAGCGCAAGUUUUUGGCGAAUCUCAAAAAAACAGUCUCAGUUCGGAUUGAAGUCUGCAACUCGACUUCAUGAAGUUGGAAUCGCUAGUAAUCGCGAAUCAGCAUGUCGCGGUGAAUACGUUCUCGGGGUUUGUACACACCGCCCGUCA
rnacentral:rRNA from 1 species